rnacentral:ncRNA from 1 species
CCGUUCAAACUCGUCUCCUCUGUGAAGGAGACUACGGGAG